rnacentral:lncRNA from 1 species
AUGAGAAGACAGGGUAUGUUGCCUACACUAGUUUCAAACUCCUGGACUCAAGCAAUCCUCCUGCUUCAGCCUCCUGAGCAGCUGGGCGUGCACCACAGCAACCAGUUCUUAAUAAAAACAAAACUAAUACACAGGGAACCGGAAGAUCCAAAGCCGCACGUCUCAGACUCAAAUGUCGAGGAGCUGGAACAGAAGCAGUGUCUGCGGCUGCCAGGUCCAGAGAGGGGAGCAGCGCAGACAGAGCCUCCGGGCACAGCCACUUCCCAGGCCAGAGAGAGAGGCCAGAGGCUGAGACGGCUCCGUCACCUUCCCCGAGAACUGUCCCAGGCAUACAGCGACUUCAAAAUGAAGAGCAGUCACCAAAAAGGGUACAGAGGGCAUGCACUCCUCCAUCAAAGGCCUGCAGCUCCCUCUUUAAACUUCAUCACCUGUGCACAGUGACAGUCCCUGAAUCCCAGCCACCCAGGAGGCUGAGACAGGAGGACGCAAAUUCAAACCCAAACUGGGCAGCUUAGCACGAUCCCGUCUCGGAAUAAAAUUAUUUUGUUUUUGUUUUGUUUUGUUUUUUGAGACAGGGUCUCACUAUGUAGUUGAGACUGACCUGGAACUCACUAUGUAGCCCAGGCUGGUCUUGAACUCACAGGGAUCCUCCGGCCUCAGCCUCUCGAGUACUGGGAUUACUGGCGUGAGCCACCACGCCCGGCUAGGAAUAAAAUUCUAAACAGGGCUGGGGGCACAUCUCAGCGUUACACCGGGGCCCUGGCUUCAUCCUCGCACUGGAAAAAAAAAUUAAGACUGGAGGCUCGAAGCAUUAAUGUUUAAGAGAAAGGGGCCGGGGAUUUAGCUCAGUGGUUCUGCCGCCUGCUUUGCAAACGCAAGAACCCGAGUUCGAUCCCCGGAACCGGUGGGAAAUUCGGACGUUGAAAAGAGCCGGCCGUCCUCCCUGCGGGAGCUGCAGCCACAUUGCGUCCCCAGGCCACAGCCGAGCUUCUGGAACUCAUCUUCAUCUUCCCUGCCAGCUGGAAGAACCCACUCUGGACUCGACAGAGCGCUCGUCCUCUCCCACCCCAACCCCGGUCCUGCUCCCGCCCGGCGGAGUAGAAAUCAGCCUAGCAACAGGUGACGUACAGGUCCGGGAGAGCGCGGGGAUUCGCGAAACCGGGCCGCAGGGGCGGGUCCGCACUCCAGGGGAGCAGACCGAGUUUCCGGGUACCGCCCGCUUCCCAGGAUCCUCUGCAUCGCGGUGCGGGCACCGCCCCCACCCCGCUGGCCUCUCCGAGCCCCUGAAGGCGAUGUCCGCCUCGUGGGGUGGCCAGGAGAGGAAGAGCGACCCACACCGCACCUGACACGAGCUCCGCACGGCACGCACGAGGCGUGAUUGGAAAAUGCCCAGAAGGCUCCCACCUUUAAAAUGUGUGGCAGAGGCCGGAUGUGAUGGUGCUAGGAGUUCAAGGCCAGCCUGGGCUGCACCGCAAGACAGUAUCUCAAAAAACAAAAACACAGGUGUGACAGUAAAGCCAGCUCUUCCUCAGCAUCUCCCCUUGCUCACAGCGAACCGGUCCCAUCACCUUGACCACUUCCUGCAGCGGCUCUGGAGUCCUCUUUCCUGUGUUUCUUCCUUGCGGUGGUGGAGUCUAGACACUGACCUUUCCUGUCAUUACCCUGGGGAAGAGCUGCAGGUCACGUGGUGCCAGAUCCAGUGAAUGAGGUGGCCGAUGACACACUGUAAUGUUUUUAUUUGACAGAAGCUACCAGUCAUGUUCAAUCAAUGAUGAUAAAAAAAUAUGGUGAAUGUUUAAAUUUUAAAAUUCAUUACAGAAAAAGACACAUUGUCGUGCAUCUCCUCGAAUAUUCAUCACACACAGUUCCUUCAGACACACUUGUCCCAUCCCAAGCCACGCAGCCUUCACAACAGUGAUUUUCUUUAAAUGGAAGCGUUUGCGGCUUUGGGGGCACCUUUGUGCCGUGGGCAGCUCACCCCAAGUUUCCUGCUUGCUGAGCCCAUACGCCUGUUGAUUUAUGUUGCCCUGCAGCAAUGGUAGGCUUGUGGUUCCACCCCCAGGUAGGGAAACAGGCACAGAGCGCUGAAUGGGGACUCCCCAGGCCACAGCUAAGGUGCAGGGCCAUGGCCAUUGUCACCAACCGUGCUGUUGUUCCUCCCUACCGUGGUGCGUUCCCUGGAGAGGUGGUUAGAGCUCUCAACAUCUCUAGUAACACUAUGGGGCAGCCAAAGUCCCAGGAAAACCAGGUUUCCAGGCAGCCCCAUUUCCUAAUCCUCCCCCUUCAGACACCCAGCUUUCUCAGGGAAGCAUCACGCAGAAGAAAAAAUGUCCUUUCCUCGCCGAAGCAGAAAGCUGAGCCUUUGGGCCCUGGGCUCUGGCCUGGACCAGGCUUCACCUCAGACCUCUGAACUUUAAGUUAAAACAGAGCUGCUCUGCACUGUGGAGCCCAGGCAGGAGCCAGCACCAAGGCCCAGCCCAGCCUCGCCCUAGAGAAGCCUUGUGAAAUAAGCCUGCCUAGACUUGGGCUUCACACGUGAAAACCUGAGCUUGCUUGUUAAUUCUGAUGGGAAAACACGGCCAGAUGAAGAGGGAAGGAUGCCUGCCUAGGAACUGAAGCCCUGUCCCCUUUGGGGGCUGAACCCAAAAGACUUGCACCCCAAGUCCCUGGAAUCGCAUAGUGAGGAACAGCAUCACAAAAAUGUCCUGCAAGACACCUGCGCCUGUGUCCUUCACCAAUGUCAGUGUCAAAACAGCAGUCAUGAAGCUGAGAAGCCAUCACAGAUUGAAAACAGACAGCCAGCUGGACGUCAUGGCGCACACCUGUAAUCCCAGCACUUGGGAGGCUGAGGCAAGAUCAUGGACAAAUGAAGCUUCACUGGGAGCCAGAAAAAGAAAAUCAAAGAAAUUAUUGGGUCAAUUGACAAAUUUAAAUUAUUGGGGCAACUGAGAAAUUUAAAUUUGGGCUCCAUAUCAGAAAUUGUAUGAAUGUAACUGUACUGUAUACCUAAAAUGUACCAGUAAAUUCAAUUUAAAAAAAAAAGAAAUCGUAAGGUUUCCUGAAUUUAGCUACAAUGAAAUCAUACAGUACAAACGGUGAAGUCAUGAUGCAUGUAG